GCCGGGUGCGGCGCAUGCCUGUAGUCCCAGCUUCUCAGGAGGCUGAGGCUGGAGGAUCGCUUGAGCCUGGGAGUUCUGGGCUGUAGUGCGCUAUGCCGAUCGCUAUGCUGCACUAAGUUCGGCAUCAAUAUGGUGACCUCCUGGGAGCAGGGGACCACUAGUUUGCCUAAGGAAGGGUGAACUGGCCCAGGUCUGAAAUGGAGCAGGUCAAAACUCCCGUGCUGAUCAGCAGUGGGAGCGCACCUGUGAAUAGCCGCUGCACUCCAGCCUGGGCACAUAGUGAGACCCGGUCUCU
rnacentral:SRP_RNA from 1 species